GGCAGAUAAUCAAAGGUUUCAUUAAAUGGGAUGCAAAUUUGGACAAUUGUUUGUGGACGAAAUUUGAGAGUUGGGAUUGUCAUAGCUUUCGUAUCUUGCCUUUUGUCAUUUCUUUUUUAACUGCAAAUAGAAAUUGCAUUGCAUGGCCCAUUGGACAGGAACAUUAUAAUAUGACUAUACAAAUUAUCAAAUCCUAACCAAUGAUGGAAGCCCAAAUAAACAAGCCCAGCCCCUAAAUAAACAACCCUAGUUGAAACAAACUGAUAAACCUUGAGCAUCUAUCAACACAGCCGCUGCCGAUCAUAACUGGGCAAGAGAAGCUCACUGGAAGCCAUUUUAGGGAAAUCCUUCCUCCAUAAAAAAUAAGAAAGCAGCCAAAGCAAGGAAAAAUCACCCCACAACCAAGCAAGCAUACCAUCCACAGGCUCAGGGCCAUGGCAGUCUCAUUCUCAUCUAGCCAUGGAAAGCUAGCAAACAACAUUAACGCCGACUCUUCCAUCCCCAAAUAGUCUUUCACCGAAUCUCUCCCAAAGUCAAUGAAAAUCAUCAAGAAGGGGACCACUCAAAACACAAGAAGCACCAACACUAAACAUAACUUCAAACUCACUGCUUUCACUGGCAGAUUUCCUCCAUAAGACCUUCAAUAACAGAAUCAUAUCUACACAACCAACCACCAAAAUCUAGAACUAUACAUUCCAGAUCAGAGAGGGGAGGGAACCUGACCUAGUCAGAGAGGCACCAUCCCCUACUCGAAGGCAGGGGAGCCACUGAAAAAUCACUUUGCUGAACUGAGAAAAACAGAGAAGAAAGACAAGGUUUCUUUAAGAGGAUUAUCUCUCUAAAAAAUUAAAGAGAGGAGUUAGCUGAAUCUUCCUGUCAUGUCAAUGUCGGAUAAAUAUAAAAUAAUUCUUAAUAAAUCACAACACGUGAAUUAUAAAUAUAAGAUUCAAUUAUUAUCCUAAUAAAAAUUUUAGAUAAAUAAAUUCUUACAGAUUUAAAAAGUGUAUUUGACGUGAAAUUUAAUUGAACAUGAUAAUAAUUGU
rnacentral:misc_RNA from 1 species